CCUACGGGGGGCUGCAGUAGGGAAUCUUCCACAAUGGACGAAAGUCUGAUGGAGCAACGCCGCGUGUGUGAUGAAGGGUUUCGGCUCGUAAAACACUGUUGUAAGAGAAGAAUGACAUUGAGAGUAACUGUUCAGUUUGCGACGGUAUCUUACCAGAAAGGAACGGCUAAAUACGGGCCAGCAGCAGCGGGAAGACGUACGUUCCAAGCGUUAUCCGGAAUUACUGGGAGUAAAGCGAACGCAGACGGUUAUUUAAGUCCGAAGUGAAAGCCCAUAGCUUAACUAUAGAAGUGCUUUGGAUACUGUGUGACUUGAGUGCAGUAGAGGAGUGUGGAAGUCCAUGUGUAGCGGUGAAAUGCGUAGAUAUAUGGAAGAACACCAGUGGCGAAGGCGGCUCUCUGGAAUGUAACUGACGUUGAGGCUCGAAAGUGUGGGUAGCAAGCAGGAUUAGAUACCCUUGUAGUC
rnacentral:rRNA from 1 species